rnacentral:lncRNA from 1 species
CACAGUCUUAUGCAUACACUGGGGUCUUCCCCUCCAUUCUGUCAAUUCUUCAUAAAAAUAGAUGAUGUUAGUUAAGGCAUUUGGGUAAAAAUUAUUUUAAGUAUAAUACAAAAAGUAGGUUUCUAAUCAUAAUCUUUAAUUAUAUCACUUCUAACUUUAAUCUUAAACAAUAGGCUUAAUUUGAUAUGUUAACAUACACAUUCUUUCACUUCUUUUAGGACCCUCUUUUCAUUAAGUUGUGAUAUUUCAUAAUUCUAUAUAGAAUAGAUUGGUGAAGGAAUUCUUAUUUUAAGGUGCUUUAUAGUUAUUUAAUAAGUACAGACAUAAAGCAAGUGAAUUAAGGAACAUAACCAAGGGAAGACAAUUUCUUCUGACUUCUCUUUUUAAAUCUGUUCUGGCUGAGGUUAGAUAUUCAGAUUAAAAAGAGUGUCAUGCUCUGACAUAUAUCGAGCAAGUGCCAAUUGUUUUGCUUCGGGGGCCUCUGAAUUGCAGUGUCUUGGCCCACCUCCCUCCAUGGGCCUGUGGGUCUGGGGACAGAGAGAAGGCAGUGGGCACGAACAGCCCUGAAGGAGAGGAGGUUGAGGAUCAGGGAGGAAAUUAAGGUGAAGCUGGAGUUUUUAUGAUUCCUAUUGUUUUUUUUUUUCCUUUGGGUGUUGGUAGUUUUAUUUUCUACUUAGAAAAUGCAAGCUUGUUGAUGGGACCAAAACUUAUUCAAAAGGAGGCUGUGGAAGAAGAUAGAGUAGUGGCUGGGAACUCUCAAGAUCCCCUAAGCAGUAUCGUGUUCUUGCACUGUGUGGAAGUAUACAAGAGAGAUAAGUUUACAUCAACACAGGACAAGAAUAGGAAACUCUCGGAGGAAAAGAGAUUUAAUGUUCAUCUCCUGGAGCAUACUGAUCGCCAGGAAUAGAUAGAUAAUUAAGAAGGGAUUAGGUCUCCAAGGACACUCCUA